rnacentral:rRNA from 1 species
UACGUAGGGUGCAAGCGUUGUCCGGAAUUAUUGGGCGUAAAGAGCUCGUAGGCGGUCUGUCGCGUCGGCUGUGAAAUCCCGAGGCUCAACCUCGGGUCUGCAGUGGGUACGGGCAGACUGGAGUGCGGUAGGGGAGAAUGGAAUUCCUGGUGUAGCGGUGGAAUGCGCAGAUAUCAGGAGGAACACCGAUGGCGAAGGCAGUUCUCUGGGCCGUAACUGACGCUGAGGAGCGAAAGCGUGGGGAGCGAACAGG